rnacentral:rRNA from 1 species
AUUGAACGCUGGCGGCAGGCCUAACACAUGCAAGUCGAGCGGAGCGGAGGACGGGUGAGUAAUGACUAGGAAGCGGCCUGGUAGUGGGGGGUAACGACCGGAAGGGGGCGGUAAUACCGCAUGCUAUCAGACGAGACGAGGUAGGUGUAGCUAGUUGGUGGGGGAAAGGCCUACCAAGGCGACGAUCCCUAGCUGGUCUGAGAGGAUGAUCAGUCACACUGGAAUGGAGACACGGUCCAGACUCCUACGGGAGGCAGCAGUGGGGAAUAUUGGACAAUGGGCGAAAGCCUGAUCCAGCCAUGCCGCGUGUGUGAAGAAGGUCUUCGGAUUGUAAAGCACUUUAAGUUGGGAGGCGUUACCAACAGAAUAAGCACCGGCUAACUUCGUGCCAGCAGCCGCGGUAAUAC